UUGGGAAGCGCACCUGCUUUAUCACCUCCCAGCCCCUCCCUCUGAACUAUCAGAAACCAGCCGCCUCCCUCUGCCAAGACCACUCCCCUACUGGCAGGAGACCCUGCAGGCAAAGGUCAUUCUCACGAUGGGCUGCCUCUUCUGGAAGGAACCAGCCCCAAGAUGAGGCUGCCACAGGGCCCAGCUCUGUCGAUGCCUGCAGGUAACUCACUCAGCAAGAAAAUACCAAGAUUUGUUCCUCUUGUGCCAGCACAGCUCAUUGAGCUGAAAGAUUGGAGACCCACCUUCUAGAUCAGACUCCAUGCGAGCCCCCUUCUAUUGGCUCCACUGCUUCAUCUGCCAGGAAAUUAAUUCCACUCUGGUAGAGUGAAAAACCAGUGUCACUUGUCAUCAGCGGAAAAUGACCAUAAAAAUAAAUGCAAUGAAAAUAAAACUCUUAUUGGAGAGAGAAGUGCACGAUCAGUAGCUGGGUCAGCUAGCAAGCACGGGAGGGGUGCCGAGGACCCCCAGGCUCCACGUGGAGACCGCCUUCGCCUCAACAUAUUCUGAAGGACUGGAAGGAACUAGAUAGGGAGCAAGUCAUGAGCUCUGUGAGCAGCACUGUUUGUCUUCUCUGGAGAGUCCCAAACCAGGCUGGAGGUGUGUGGGGGGCACCAGCUGGGUGAUGCGGUGGAAGGUUCUGGAGACGAGGGAGGAGGAGCACAGGGCCUGCUCUUGGGGAGCACAAGCACAGCAGGGAAGAAGGUCAUAGAGUGCUGGACUGGGGGCUAGGAGACCCCCAGGCCAAGCCAGCUUCUGUUACUCUCUUGCUCCAAGGCCUCAAAAGGGAUCAGAAUCUGCCAGGCCCGAAUAUGCCACUUUGUAUACAAAUUAUUUGGGGCUGGUGGCAAUUGAGUAUCCACAGAUGCGGAAAGAGGUCUCUGCCCAUCCCUUAUCUGCCUAAAAACAAGACACGAACUUCUCUUUGAGAAAAGUGCCCCCAACCCUUGUACUUGGAGAGAAGAGCAGCUCUUAUCAUCCGCGCCAGGGAGUCAACACUCCAGAAGCAGACUUUUCUAAAAUAGCGUGUCCUGCAUUAGAUCCUCCAUGUAGCUCUUAGUCAUUUCCCCACAGGUUAUAUUCCUUGAGGUCCAAGCCGUCUCUCCUUUGCUAAAAAGAAAUCCUCUGGGGAUCCCUGGGUGGCUCAGCGGUUUAGCACCUGCCUUCGGCCCAGGGCAUGAUCCUGGGGUCCCGGGAUCGGGUCCCACAUCAGGCUCCCUGCAUGGAGCCUGCUUCUCCCUCUGCCUGUGUCCCUGCCUCUC